AGUGAACGCUGGCGGUAGGCCUAACACAUGCCAGUCGAACGGCAGCACAGUAAGAGCUUGCUCUUACGGGUGGCGAGUGGCGGACGGGUGAGGAAUACAUCGGAAUCUACUUUUUCGUGGGGGAUAACGUAGGGAAACUUACGCUAAUACCGCAUACGACCUACGGGUGAAAGCAGGGGAUCUUCGGACCUUGCGCGAUUGAAUGAGCCGAUGUCGGAUUAGCUAGUUGGCGGGGUAAAGGCCCACCAAGGCGACGAUCCGUAGCUGGUCUGAGAGGAUGAUCAGCCACACUGGAACUGAGACACGGUCCAGACUCCUGCGGGAGGCAGCAGUGGGGAAUAUUGGACAAUGGGCGCAAGCCUGAUCCAGCCAUACCGCGUGGGUGAAGAAGGCCUUCGGGUUGUAAAGCCCUUUUGUUGGGAAAGAAAAGCAGCAGGUUAAUACCCCGCUGUUCUGACGGUACCCAAAGAAUAAGCACCGGCUAACUUCGCG
rnacentral:rRNA from 1 species